rnacentral:rRNA from 1 species
GGUUUUGUUUGCGCAGGAUAGGUGGGAGGUGUUGAAAAUUUUCCUGCGGGAAGAUUGGAGCCGUUGGUGAGAUACCACUCUAACAAUGCUAGGAUUCUAACCCUACACCGUUAUCCGGUUAGGGGACAGUUUCAGGUGGUCAGUUUGACUGGGGCGGUCGCCUCCCAAAAGGUAACGGAGGCGUGCAAAGGUUUCCUCAGGCUGGUCGGAAAUCAGUCGUAGAGUGUAAAGGCAUAAGGAAGCUUGAUUGUGUGACCUACAAGUCGAACAAAGACGAAAGUCGGCCUUAGUGAUCCGACGGUUCCGAGUGGAAGGGCCGUCGCUCAACGGAUAAAAGUUACUCUAGGGAUAACAGGCUGAA